GGAGUUCAUAAGCAACCUGACUCCAUAAUUUAUGUUACCUGCGACUCUCUUGGAAUGAUGGUCACAGUAGCAGUUGCACUACACAGCUCUGACUCCUCAUUACUGCGCAGUUGAACACAGAAACUGCUGGAGCUGUGACUGUCGUCUUAUGAUCAUCUCAGAAUCUGUUUGAACUUGAUGUAGAAGACCCUCCCGAAACGUCCACAUAGCUCUCCAGUGUUCAGGCAGGACAUCUCAGACGUUAACAUGCGGAUGGGUCACCUGCCAGUGGGAUCCUGACUCAGGAGCUCUAGGCGGGGCCUGAGGUGGUGCAUCUCACAGUUCCCGGUGAGGCCUUGCUGCUGCUUGGUGGACCUUGCUUUGAGUUCCCCUGUGACAUCAAGGAUGACAGAGUUAACACGUAACCUGUCACCGGCAAAGAGCGACAGUCCAGACUGACACAGGCGCUUGCCAUCCAAAGGCCUGUUGUAAAGUAUCUGAUACGGUCACGUGUUCCUGACGGAUUGUGGGGUUGGCUCUGCCACAACAUCGAGUCCCAACGCUGGAGGCAUGAC
rnacentral:lncRNA from 1 species